rnacentral:sRNA from 1 species
CGCAGGUUCGAAUCCUGCACGACCCACCAAUAUACAAAGUGGUAACUGGUAGAGAAUAUGAAGGAUAACGUUGCUUUAGCAACGGCCGAAGGGCGAGGCGAAGCCGAGUCAUCCUGCACGACCCACCA